CGUACCCAUCCCGAACACGACCGUUAAGCCCUCCAGCGCCGAUGGUACUUGGACCGAAGGGUCCUGGGAGAGUAGGAUGCUGCCAAGC
rnacentral:rRNA from 1 species